rnacentral:rRNA from 1 species
UGGGGAAUCUUCCGCAAUGGACGAAAGUCUGACGGAGCAACGCCGCGUGGGUGACGAAGGUUUUCGGAUCGUAAAACCCUGUCAAGAAGGAAGAAAAAAGACGGUACUUCUGAAGGAAGCCCCGGCUAACUACGUGCCAGCAGCCGCGGUAAUACGGAGGAUCCGAGCGUUAUCCGGAUUUAUUGGGUUUAAAGGGAGCGUAGGUGGAUUGUUAAGUCAGUUGUGAAAGUUUGCGGCUCAACCGUAAAAUUGCAGUUGAUACUGUCAGUCUUGAGUACAGUAGAGGUAAGCGGAAUUCGUGGUGUAGCGGUGAAAUGCGUAGAUAUUAGGAGGAGCACCAGUGGCGAAGGCGGCCUGCUGGGCUUUUACUGACGCUGAGGCUCGAAAGUGUGGGUAGCAAACA